rnacentral:rRNA from 1 species
UGGGGAAUAUUGCGCAAUGGGCGAAAGCCUGACGCAGCGACGCCGCGUGAGGGAUGAAGGCUUUCGGAUCGUAAACCUCUGUCAGAAGGGAAGAAACCGCACUGUGCUAAUCAGCAGUGCCUUGACGGUACCUUCAAAGGAAGCACCGGCUAACUCCGUGCCAGCAGCCGCGGUAAUACGGAGGGUGCAAGCGUUAAUCGGAAUUACUGGGCGUAAAGCGCACGUAGGCUGCUUUGUAAGUCAGGGGUGAAAUCCCACGGCUCAACCGUGGAACUGCCUUUGAUACUGCUUAGCUUGAAUCCGGGAGAGGGUGGCGGAAUUCCAGGUGUAGGAGUGAAAUCCGUAGAUAUCUGGAGGAACAACAGUGGCGAAGGCGGCCACCUGGACCGGUAUUGACGCUGAGGUGCGAAAGCGUGGGGAGCAAACAGG